rnacentral:snRNA from 1 species
GGGCUCACUUUGGCAGCACAUGUACUAAAACUGGAAUGAUACAGAAAAGAUUAGCAUGGCCCCUGCUCAAGCAUGACAUAAAUUCUUGAAAUGUUCCAUACUUUU